rnacentral:rRNA from 1 species
GACGAACGCUGGCGGCGCGCUUAACACAUGCAAGUCGAACGGAAAGGCCUUCUUUCCCUUGUGGACUCCGGGUACUCGAGUGGCGAACGGGUGAGUGACACGUGACUUAUCUUCUCCCAACUUGGGUAUAAGCUUGGGAAACUAGGUCUAAUUCUCUCCUGCACCGCAGGGUGGUGUCUGAAGUGGAGACCGUUUUUCUAGUGGUCGGGGAUUGGCUGCCGGGUUAUCAGCUUGUUGGUGGGGUAAUGGUUUACCAAGGGGGGGACGGGGAGCCUGCCUGGGGGGGUGGGCCGGCAAAGUUGGACGGGGAUACGGCCCAGACUCCUACGGGGGGCAGCCUUGGGGAAUAUUGAGCGAUGGGCGGAAGCCUGGUGGAGGGAGGCCGCGGGGGGGAUGACGGCCUUCGGGUUGUAAACUCCUUUCGACCGCGAGGAAGCCACCUGGUUGGAAGGGUGGUGACGGUAGUGGUAGAAGAAGCACCGGCUAACUACGUG